rnacentral:rRNA from 1 species
AUUAAUAAAAAUAUUGCUUAUAAUUUAAUAUUAGAGUUUUGAUAUUAGUAAUUAGAUUGAUAUUUCUUUAAGGCUAUAGAGUAAUUUAUUGUAAAAGAAGUAAAAUAUAGAUAUGUUUAUAAAAAAGUAAAUUUAGUUGUACCUUUUGCAUUAGGGUUAAUUAAAUAUAAAUAUAAAGUUAUUUUUCCCGAAAGGUUAUGAGCUAUUAAAUAUUAUUUUUAAUGUUGCAUAAUUAAGGAUAAUGUUAUAUAGUGAUGAAAUGUCAUUCAUAUAACCUGAUAUCUGGUUAAUAUGAGUUUAACUAUAUGUUAUUAUAUAUGAUAUAAUAUAAUUUAACAUUUAUAUAUAAUUUAUACUUAGGGAUAAGCUUAAGUAUAUAUAUAUAUACAUUUAUUAUAUAUUGGUUAGAGGUUUAUAAUUUACUUAAUCUGUUAUAAGAAUAUUAAUAUAUAUAUAUUCAUAUUUUAUGAGUAUGUUAAUUUAUCUAACAUAAAUAUAAGUGAAUUUAUGAUUAAAUUAGUAUAAGCGUUAAUUAUUAAGGCAAUUGAUAAAUUAAUUGAUAAAUUAAUAUAAAAUUUAUGAAUUCGGCAAAUAUUAUAAUUGAAUGUUUAUCAAAAACAUUGUAUUUUGAUAUUAUAAAAUAUAAUACCUGCUCAAUGUUAUUUAAAUUGCUGUGGUAUUUUGACUAUACGAAGGUAGUGAAAUAAGGCUUUAAUUGAGUGCUAAAUGAAUGGUAUAACAGUUAUAAUCUAUGUUGAUUUUAAUAUUAGAAGUUAAUAUAAAAAUGAAAAAGUUUUUAUAUAUUAUUGGGACAAGAAGACCCUAUGAAUUUUUAUUUAUUUAGAUAUACUAUUUAUUUAUAAUAAUGAAGUUUAUUAUGAUAAAUUUAAUUGGGGUGAUUUGUAAAGAAUAGUUAUCUUUAUAUAUAUUUAUAUAUAUUGUACCAUUAUUAAUGAAUAUUAGAAAAAAAUACUCUAGGGUUAACAGCGUAAUUAUUUUGGAUAGUUCAUAUUGAUAAAGUAGUUUGCGACCUCGAUGUUGGAUUAAGAUACCUGUUAAGUGUAGAGGCUUAAUAAGGAAGUUUGCUCAACUUUUAAUUUCUUACAUGAUCUGAGUUCAGACCGGCGUGAGCCAGGUUGGUUUCUAUCUAGUAAAUUAAUGAUGUUAGGGUAGUACGAAAGGAAUCUCUAGCAUAAAGUUUUUAAAUAAUUUUAUAUAGAUCAGA